AAAAUCCUCAGGUAUUUCUUGAGUCAGACCUUGCAACCCUAAUUUAGAUUUGCUGUACACUUCAUUUUUACUAACUUGCGUUUGAUGAUAUCUUUUAAAACCAUGACUGUUAAGACUGCAAAAUCGUAUGCUUAAUGAAUCUCAGUAUAUGACCUCAUUUUUCCUAUGCAUGUGGUUGCCUUUCUAGUACAUUUUUGUUAGAUCAGCUGACUUGCAUGAGGCGAAACAAAGGCGUGUUUGUAAGAUACUUCUGGUGGUAUUUAGCUUGUUUGUUAGUUUUCAGUGAAUGCCUGAAAAAAUAAGUGAGGUCUUUUGAGGCUUUUCACCACCGCAUUCACUAUAGAGACACCACAGCUGCAUCAAUUGGAAGGUGUUUCGUGGAUUAAUUCUAGAAAAAGGUUAUUACAGUAAAUUCUAGGACAAGGUUCGGAAUGAAUGCCACCUGUGUUGUGUGGGGGAUAUUUUGGCUGCUCGUAUUGUUUUUCCUUGGAUGGCCCAUAAGCAUGUUCUUAGGAGGACUAUAUGGAUUUGUUGCUCCACUCACUACUUUGAUAGGGUUGGAUGACCUCAGUGAAGCUUUACUGAUGGGAGUAAAUCUGGGGAGAGUGUGUGCUAAAAAUGUACAUGCUGGAAAGCCCCUCUGUUAACAAUGAAGACCACCACUACAAGAAAGCAUUCUUCUUUAUUCUACAAUAUAUUUUACAUCUGUUGAUUAUAUUCAAAAUGUUCCAAUUUCUAUCCAGAAGCUACUAGUGUUUUACAGAGUAUAUAAUUCACAACUGACAUCCUGUAAAGAAGUAAACGUAGCCAAAUUUGUACUGGAGACUGCAGUUCCUCUUUAUAUUACAUAUACCUCUAAGCUAAUGUAUUGAAACGAGAGACAGCCUGAUAACACCUCAAAUUUUAGCCUGAUCUAUGUGUAUUAUUCCAGAUUAACAAACACUGAAGAUGCAGUAAUUUGGAACCAAGUUAUUUGCUGUGUCUAGACCCUCAACUGAAUGUUAGAGAGGAAGUCAUUAAAUUUGCUAGGAUAAAUUCAAUUUUUUGAUGUUUGCUUUAUUAAAUAAAUUACUUCCAGUUUAGAUCUCUGGUGCUCCUUUAAGUUAACUGUUUGUAGUUACUAAUGUAUAAACAGCUCUGCAUUAAUAGUGUCACUGUUCAUUAUAUUUGGCUGUUAUAUGUUUUAGAAAGCACCUCAUUUGUAUGGGUUCUUUAUAAAUGUAAUUGUUCAGGUAUGUUUAUACUCCAGUUGUUAUAAAUACAGAUAUUAAAGCUA